GACGAACGCUGGCGGCGUGCUUAACACAUGCAAGUCGAACGAAGAGCGAUGGAAGCUUGCUUCUAUCAAUCUUAGUGGCGAACGGGUGAGUAACGCGUAAUCAACCUGCCCUUCAGAGGGGGACAACAGUGGGAAACGACUGCUAAUACCGCAUACGAUCUAAUCUCGGCAUCGAGGAUAGAUGAAAGGUGGCCUCUACAUGUAAGCUAUCACUGAAGGAGGGGAUUGCGUCUGAUUAGCUAGCUGGGGGGGUAACGGCCCACCAAGGCGAUGAUCAGUAGCCGGGCUGAGAGGAUGAACGGCCAAAUUGGGACUGGGACACGGCCCAGACUCCUACGGGAGGCAGCAGUGGGGAAUCUUCCGCAAUGGACGAAAGUCUGACGGAGCAACGCCGCGUGAGUGAUGACGGCCUUCGGGUUGUAAAGCUCUGUUAAUCGGGACGAAAGGCCUUCUUGCGAAUAGUGAGAAGGAUUGACGGUACCGGAAGAGAAAGCCACGGCUAACUACGUG
rnacentral:rRNA from 1 species